UACGUAGGGUGCAAGCAUUAAUCGGAUUUAUUGGGCGUAAAGGGCGCGUAGGCGGAAAUGCCAGUCAGAUGUGAAAUCCCGGGGCUCAACCCCGGAACAGCAUUUGAAACUACAUUUCUAGAGGGUAGGCGGAGAAAACGGAAUUCCACAAGUAGCGGUGAAAUGCGUAGAUAUGUGGAAGAACACCAGUGGCGAAGGCGGUUCUCUGGGACGGUACUGACGCUGAGACGCGAAAGCGGGGGGAGCGAACAGG
rnacentral:rRNA from 1 species